CCCAGACUCCUACGGGAGGCAGCAGUGGGGAAUAUUGCACAAUGGGGGGAACCCUGAUGCAGCGACGCCGCGUGAGUGAAGAAGUAUUUCGGUAUGUAAAGCUCUAUCAGCAGGGACGAAGAUGACGGUACCUGCAGAAGAAGCCCCGGCUAACUACGUGCCAGCAGCCGCGGUAAUACGUAGGGGGCAAGCGUUAUCCGGAUUUACUGGGUGUAAAGGGAGCGUAGACGGCAGGGCAAGCCAGAAGUGAAAGCCCGGGGCUCAACCCCGGGACUGCAUUUGAAACUGUCAGGCUGGAGUGCAGGAGAGGUAAGUGGAAUUCCUAGUGUAGCGGUGAAAUGCGUAGAUAUUAGGAGGAACACCAGUGGCGAAGGCGGCUUACUGGACUGUAACUGACGUUGAGGCUCGAAAGCGUGGGGAGCAAACAGGAUUAGAUACCCCCGUAUG
rnacentral:rRNA from 1 species